rnacentral:rRNA from 1 species
CUCAGGAUGAACGCUAGCUACAGGCUUAACACAUGCAAGUCGAGGGGCAGCAUUGGAGUAGCAAUACUCAGAUGGCGACCGGCGCACGGGUGGGUAACACGUAUCCAACCUGCCGCUUACUCGGGGAUAGCCUUUCGAAAGAAAGAUUAAUACCCGAUGGUAUAAAGAGUUCGCAUGUUCUCUUUAUUAAAGAAUUUCGGUAAGCGAUGGGGAUGCGUUCCAUUAGAUAGUUGGCGGGGUAACGGCCCACCAAGUCUACGAUGGAUAGGGGUUCUGAGAGGAAGGUCCCCCACAUUGGAACUGAGACACGGUCCAAACUCCUACGGGAGGCAGCAGUGAGGAAUAUUGGUCAAUGGACGAGAGUCUGAACCAGCCAAAAGUAGCGUGAAGGAUGACUGCCCUAUGGGUUGUAAACUUCUUUUAUAAGGGAAUAAAGUGAGGGACGUGUCCCUUUUUGUAUGUACCUUAUGAAUAAGGAUCGGCUAACUCCGUGCCAGCCGCCGC